CUCCUACGGGAGGCAGCAGUGGGGAAUAUUGCGCAAUGGGCGAAAGCCUGACGCAGCGACGCCGCGUGGGGGAUGAAGGCCUUCGGGUUGUAAACCCCUUUCACCGGGAGCGAAUCCAGACGGUACCUGGGGAAGAAGCGCCGGCUAACUACUUGCCAGCAGCCGCGGUAAUUC
rnacentral:rRNA from 1 species